CCUGCCCUCCUUCCACCUCCAUGGCCUCGCCGCGAUCGGGGGAGGUGAGGGUGGAGAGCACCUUGGCGUUGCUCUUGAGUUCGGCCUGCUGCUGCAGGGAGGUGGGGUUGGUCCGACAGCACACGACCGCUAAAGGUGAGGCUGAUGCCUUCGGGCUGCAAGCCCUCCGUCGGCGCCCCGACCAGGUGAAUCCGCUCCGCCGGUUGGGAGGUCGCUCCCCAUGGCCGCUCCUUGCAGUCCAUGCUCACUAUCUUUCUAUUUUUCACUCUUCCCAUCCAUCUUCCCCAUGGAAAACUCGGGUAAUCUGUCCCUGGCCGAGGACUGUCUCUGUCGACCUCCUCCUGCCCAGACCCACCAACAUGUCAAUCAUCUUCCCCUAGCUGAGCCGUACCUCCAUCGAUUUCCCCUUGCCAUGAGCCGAGCUGUAGCCUGUCCCGAAAAUUCUUCCCUGCCCGAGCCUUCCCUAGCCGAACUCCUCCGUGGCUGGCGGGAGACGACGACCAAGGUGGAGUGCGGCGGCUACUUCAUCCCAUGAGCCAUGACCGGCCACUCCGUUCACCCUCCCAAACUGCAGAUUUCAGGAUAGAACUGGAACACCAUCUUCAAGCACUGGUUUAUCUUUGUUAAACCAGACCAGCAAUCCAAAUAGCCUUGCUCAAAGAUGCGUCAAAUCAGACACAAUGAUGAAAGCUUCUUGUGUGUUUAGGCCAAAUAUGGGAAAACAGAAAUCCAGAUUUUGGUGAGAAACCAUGGAAGGCUCUGUGCCAAACAACCGUACGUAUAGACCAAUUUAAGAAGAACUGAAAGGAUGAUCCAUCUGCACAUUUGAACAAUUCAUAGUCAUGGAUGAACAGGACAUAUACAAAUCAGCAGAACAUCAGCACAUAAUUAGAUUCACCCAGCGAGCAAAGGUUCACCAAGUCAUACUUCCUCCAGAACUACUGAAGCAUCCAUCUCACUGCAAUUCUACAGGCUGGCCAACUUGCAACAAGCAGCCGCUGCCCGCUAGCAGCUCCAUGGUCCCAGUUACAUCAUCCUCUCCUUCAGCUAGGAGCCUUGACUUGACACAGUCAGCCUUGACAUCCAGCAGUGCGUCCCGCUAUGAAUUUAGUUCACCAAUCUGAGGCAAGUUCAAGACAUAUUUUAUGGCUGUUCUACUUCUCUCAUGUGACUACCUGGAACAGACUGGAUCAUAGUAUCCUUACUGAAUAAACAAGGCGUCUAUGGAAGGCCAUGGUGUUUCCAUUCACUUAAAGGGUUCGAGUGCUUUGCAAGGGUUAAUAGCCAACCAUUUUAAUUUGUUGCAUUACAUAAGAUGUAAGUCUUUGUCAGGAACCACAUGGAACUGCUAUAUGCCUUGAAACGUUCAGCCAUUGGCUGCUUCUUUCCAUGGCUUUGCUAAGCAUCAGGUCCGCAAAAAAAUUGAGUAAGGCUAAGCAUCGUUUAUCAACAAAGAGGAACUAAAGGACGGUAUGGAAGUAUCCUUAUCCUUAGUGAGAGGUCUACCCCCCCCUGAGGAUAUCAAUGAAAGAUCAUUGUACGUGUUGCUUGCAUUUGGGAAUAAAGAUAUCAAACAACUUCACGGAACUAUAUGAACUAGAUUUCAUUGUCAUCGACUAUGAGGGUGGUUGCAGUUGCCCGAUCUUUGAUGUAUCUGUGCAAGCUGACGCAUUCCCAACUGCUUUAGCACUUCCUUUAAGUCAUGUAAUGCUUAGUUCCAGCCAGAAACUUUUGGUUGCAGGGCAGUGUUAUGUUUUUCUUUUGAUGCAGCUGUAUUUCGUUUAGACUGUAUUAUGAGCUACCAACCAUAUAUUAAAUUGCAAUGUGCUACUUU